rnacentral:rRNA from 1 species
UACGGAGGGUGCGAGCGUUGUCCGGAAUCACUGGGCGUAAAGGGCGCGUAGGCGGCUGGGGAAGUCGGCGGUGAAAGCCCGGAGCUCAACUCCGGGUCGGCCGUCGAGACUCCUCGGCUCGAGCUCACUGAGAGGCAGAUGGAAUUCCGGGUGUAGCGGUGGAAUGCGUAGAGAUCCGGAAGAACACCGGUGGCGAAGGCGGUCUGCUGGGGUGAGGCUGACGCUGAGGCGCGACAGCGUGGGGAGCAAACGAGGAUUAGAAACCCG